CUGCUCCUCCACAGCGCCGCCGCCAGCCCACGCUCCCGCUGCCACCGCUCCUCCACCGCGCCCGCCGCCAGCCGCUCCUCCACCGCGCCCGCCGCUAGCCCGCUCCUCCACCGCGCCCCCACUCCUCCACCUCCACCUCCACCACGCGCGUCCGCCAGACCGCGCGCCGCCACCUCCACCCUAGCUGCGGUUCCUCCUCCAGAUCCCGGCGGCCCGGCCCCAUGGCCGCCCUCGUUUCUAGCUCCAGCUUCUCCGCUCUCUAGCUCCGGAUCGCACGCGCACGUAAAGACACGGAGCCCGCAGCCAAGGAUGCCGCAGCCGCUGUGCCGGACUCGUGGGAGACGGCCGACAUAG
rnacentral:misc_RNA from 1 species